CCUCUUUCUUCAACUAGUUUGCAGCAUAUAUCAACAAUCAGUGGGAUAUAUUUGUUGGUAUGUGCUGGGGGGCAGUCAUCUAGUCUGACACCAAAUGUUCCGACUGCAGAUGGCUUCUUUUCAAAUGUCUUCCUCAUAAUGCUUGGAAUGCCUUUCCUCCAUGUCCCCUUAUCUUUAGGUGGGCUUGUCUCAUCUUUAGUGAGAAGCUUCCUCUCUGACUCAUCCUUGGGAGAAUGUGGACUCUGGGUCCUCUGGUCUGCUUUAGUUCCAAGCAGAGUCUGCCUGAUACUUAGGCUCUGACGAGGUGUUUUGGGAGAUGGCUCUGUUUUGCUGCUUGAAGAACUCAUCAUUGUACUGUAUUCUUUAAUCCUCCGGCUAAUUAGGUCUCUACUAGUGACACCAGUGUCCUCAUCAUUUAAGUUGCUGUUUUCUUGUAUUGCUUUAAUCCACGCUAACAUAUUAUCUCUGUCCUCAGCUUGAAACAGAUACUCGCAGUCUGAUGUGGUGAGUCUGAAUACAUUUUUCCUCUUGGUUUCACAGUAUGAGAUGUCUAUCAAACAAGCAUUGAUGCUUAUAGGUUGUUCUUCUUCUGAUGGGGUCAUUUGUUCCUUUUUAUCCUUGUACAAAUAAAGUGAAUGACCUCGAAGAACAACAUACAAUUGUUUCCAUGGCCGAAUGCUCCCACCAACUCGCUUUCCUUUGUCUGUAACAAGCUGACGAAAAUGGAGCCACCCUUCUUUGGAGGCAUCACCAAAGACCUCUGAAGAAGAAUCUUUUCGGGAACCAGAAUCUUCAGAAGAUUUCUGACUGUCUGUGACCUAAAGAGAACAUCACAGAACGAAACUCACAGCGUACUUCUAAGCACGUUUCUCUAUGAUCUCUAUAUGCAAGAUCACAUCUGUCAGUGUUCG
rnacentral:lncRNA from 1 species